rnacentral:rRNA from 1 species
UACGGGGGGGGCAAGCGUUGUUCGGAAUUACUGGGCGUAAAGGGCGCGUAGGCGGCAAUUCAAGUCAUCUGUGAAAUCUCCGGGCUUAACCCGGAACGGUCAGAUGAUACUGCUUUGCUAGAGUGCGGAAGGGGCAAUCGGAAUUCUUGGUGUAGCGGUGAAAUGCGUAGAUAUCAAGAGGAACACCUGAGGUGAAGACGGGUUGCUGGGCCGACACUGACGCUGAUAGCGCGAAAGCCAGGGGAGCAAACAGG